rnacentral:lncRNA from 1 species
GAUAACCGAAAGUAAAAAUAACCCCAUUACACGCCUGAGGAGGAUGUGGAGAAGAAAGAAACCCCUCGGAAGGGAGAAGAUGAAAGACAGAAACCGAAAGGCGAGAGAGAGGCAGUGAGAGGAGGGGGAAAAAGAAAAGACGAAAAGGCAUCUUUUUGAAACUGGAAUUAAACAUGAGCUGGGAGGACAGGCCUGGCCUUAAGGAAGCAUUCUUUAUAGACUUGGAUCAAGCGUGGGUCCUGUUUUUAAGGCAAUACUCUGCUCAAGCCAUCUGUGGACCUGGGGAAGCUCAUCUGGAAUUCCCUGGUGACCAGAGGCUGGCUUACAGACUGGAGAAACCGAGGCUACAAAUGGACAUCGUAUCUGUCCUGGGCCAAAAUGUAGUCAUUCAGGCAUCUGCGUCCACUGUCCCAGGACAAGAAAUAAAACAGUUCACAGGGUGAAGGAUAUAAGGUGGAAAGAAAGAAAGAGAGAGAGAAAAAAAAAGAAGGAAGAAGCCAACUCCUAAACCCCUGGAAAUCUGUGUUAAUUGCUUAUGAAUGUCUCUGUCUAAAAAAAAUUAUCGAAUUGAUGUCGUCGUGGGUUUUUUGACAGCCUGUCUGUUACAUUUUUUUAAAUAUUCAUGCACCAAAAUCUAAUUACUAGGCAAAUUUAAUGAUAAUGAAAUGAAGGCACUUUAGCGGAAAGCACAGGGCCCCCGUUAAUGUUUUCUCAGCCUCUGUCUUGUUCGUAAUUUUUUUUUUUUAUGACUGCCUUUCUUGCAUUUAAAAAAAAAAAAGGAUUGCCGAAAAUAAAAC